rnacentral:rRNA from 1 species
UACGGAGGGUGCAAGCGUUAUCCGGAUUCACUGGGUUUAAAGGGUGCGUAGGUGGGCAGGUAAGUCAGUGGUGAAAUCUCCGAGCUUAACUCGGAAACUGCCGUUGAUACUAUUUGUCUUGAAUAUUGUGGAGGUAAGCGGAAUAUGUCAUGUAGCGGUGAAAUGCUUAGAUAUGACAUAGAACACCAAUUGCGAAGGCAGCUUACUACACAACGAUUGACGCUGGGGCACGAAAGCGUGGGGAUCAAACAGG